UGUUUGAGGUUGAUAUACAUAGCACGAAUGAGCAACUUCUCUCUAACCGACGAAAGUAGAUGUUAGAGCAAUUUGUGAACUAAUCGAAUCUGAGCAUUAAUGUUUGUCAUCAUGUUUGAAUCCAAACAACAGUUUAGUUGUAAACUUGUUUAAAAUUGUUCAUUGAAUCAUUAUUUGGCUCAUGAUCGCUUGAUACCUGAUCCAUCUCCCUAGGCUUAGCAAUUUUAUUAAUCUGAAUCCAAACCAAUCCAUCUCUUUUUCUGGUUUAUCUGAUUUUCUUAUUUUGCAGUCAAUCGAUUUGGCUUAGCUUCAUAUCAAACCAUAGAAUAGAAGAUGGA
rnacentral:lncRNA from 1 species